UCCCCGUUGCCGGGGCAGUCUGACUAGAAAAAUUCAACUAAUCAUAAGGGUUGCGCUCGUUACUGGACUUAACCAUACAUCUCACGACACGAGCUGACGACGGCCAUGCAUCACCUGUCAUUGGGCUCCAAAAGGCACUGUUGUCUUUCGACGACAUUCCCAAGAUGUCAAGCCCUGGUAAGGUUCUUCGCUUACCCUCGAAUUAAACAACACGCUCCACCGCUUGUGCGGGUCCCCGUCAAUUCCUUUAUGUUUUAAGCUUGCGCUCGUACUCCACAGGCGGGAUGCUUAACGCGUUAGCUUCGCUACUACAGGGGUCGAUACCCAUAACAGCUAGCAUCCAUAGUUUACGGCGUGGACUA
rnacentral:misc_RNA from 1 species